rnacentral:rRNA from 1 species
GACGAACGCUGGCGGCGUGCUUAACACAUGCAAGUCGAACGGAAAGGCCCUGCUUUUGUGGGGUGCUCGAGUGGCGAACGGGUGAGUAACACGUGAGUAACCUGCCCUUGACUUUGGGAUAACUUCAGGAAACUGGGGCUAAUACCGGAUAGGAGCUCCUGCUGCAUGGUGGGGGUUGGAAAGUUUCGGCGGUUGGGGAUGGACUCGCGGCUUAUCAGCUUGUUGGUGGGGUAGUGGCUUACCAAGGCUUUGACGGGUAGCCGGCCUGAGAGGGUGACCGGCCACAUGGGGACUGAGAUACGGACCAGACGCCUACGGGAGGCAGCAGGGGGGAGUAUUGCAGAAUGGGCGGAAGCCUGAGGCAGAAACGCCGCGUGCGGGAUGACGGCCUUCGGGUUGUAAACAGAUUUCGCCUGUGACGAAGCGUGAGUGACGGUAAUGGGUAAAGAAGCACCGGCUAACUACGUG